CAUUACUGAGUGAGGGCCUUCGGGCUCGACCUCCAACCCUUUGUGAACACAACUUGUUGCUUCGGGGGCGACCCUGCCGUUUCGACGGCGAGCGCCCCCGGAGGCCUUCAAACACUGCAUCUUUGCGUCGGAGUUUAAGUAAAUUAAACAAAACUUUCAACAACGGAUCUCUUGGUUCUGGCAUCGAUGAAGAACGCAGCGAAAUGCGAUAAGUAAUGUGAAUUGCAGAAUUCAGUGAAUCAUCGAAUCUUUGAACGCACAUUGCGCCCCUUGGUAUUCCGAGGGGCAUGCCUGUUCGAGCGUCAUUU
rnacentral:rRNA from 1 species